rnacentral:rRNA from 1 species
GACGAACGCUGGCGGCGUGCUUAACACAUGCAAGUCGAACGAAGUGGCGAACGGGUGAGUAACGCGUAAUCAACCUGCCCUUCAGAGGGGGCCAACAGUUGGAAACGACUGCUAAUACCGCAUACUGAAGGAGGGGAUUGAGUCUGAUUAGCUAGUUGGAGGGGUAACGGCCCACCAAGGCGAUGAUCAGUAGCCUGUCUGAGAGGAUGAACGGCAAAAUUGGGAAUGAGACACCGCCCAGACUCCUACGGGAGGCAGCAGGUGGGAAUCUUCCGCAAUGGACGAAAGUCUGACGGAGCAACGCCGCGGGAGGGAUGACGGCCUUCGGGUUGUAAAGCUCUGUUAAGCGGGACGCGGUACCGGAAGAGAAAGCCACGGCUAACUACGUGCCAGCAGCCGCGGUAAUAC